GCAUCGUCAGCUCUGCUCAGAGAGACAGUAAAGAACUGGGUCUCUCCUACUCCAACAUGGACUACAUCCAGACGGACGCUACCAUAGAUUUUGGAAAUUCAGGAGGGCCUCUCAUAAACCUGGAUGGUGAGGUCAUCGGCAUUAAUACCAUGAAAGUGACAGCAGGGAUUUCCUUCGCUAUUCCCUCAGACAGAGUCCGUCUCUUCCUUGACCGAUCUGUA